CCGGGAACACACCGAGGAACCCCGACACCACGAUCCUGCUCCAAAUCUCCUCCUCAGCUCCUUCUGCACACGCGUCCCCUACUCACCUUCGAGCACGCGCUCCCACAGGACAGGAAAAAAGGUUUAUGCAAAUAUCGAUAAACAAAGAUAAACACAUGCAUUUAUCCAUCGGUCCGGCGGCGGCGCACUAACGAGCCCACAUCACCAUAACGACCGAGCAGGGCGGAGAGACAGAGAGAAUCAUCUGCAUUAUGAAGAAAUGCUCAGAAAUCUGAUGGUGAGAAGAAGCAGCUGAAGUGAAGUGACGUUCUUCAGGGUUCUACUGUUAUACACACACACACACACACACACACACACACACACACACACAAACAGAUGUAUCUCCCCAGAAGCACUGAAGCAGAAUUUUGCAUGAAUAGUUUCUCAUUAAACUGAACGACGCGGAUGGAAGUGUAACACGUUCUCAUUUAACAGUGCGAUAGAAAAAUGUGUACCGAAAAAUUGUUGUGUGUAAAAUUUCAGCAUGAGGAAGCAUGAGAAGAGCUGACCAAUCAGGAGCGAGCAUUCAGCCUUCAAUUAAACAUGUGAUUAAUGAGAUUAAUUAUCUGAG